UACGGAGGGUGCAAGCGUUAUCCGGAAUCAUUGGGUUUAAAGGGUCCGCAGGCGGUCCUAUAAGUCAGUGGUGAAAGCCAACAGCUCAACUGUAGAACUGCCAUUGAUACUGUAGGACUUGAAUAUGGUCGAAGUGGGCGGAAUGUGUAGUGUAGCGGUGAAAUGCUUAGAUAUUACACAGAACACCGAUAGCGAAGGCAGCUCACUAGGCCAUUAUUGACGCUCAUGGACGAAAGCGUGGGGAGCAAACAGG
rnacentral:rRNA from 1 species